rnacentral:rRNA from 1 species
GUCUACAGCUAUACCACCCUGAACAAGCCCGAUCCUGUCUGGUCUUGGAAGCUAUGCAGGGUCGGGUCUGGUUAGUACUUGGAUGGGAGACUACCUAGGAAUACCAGGUGUUGUAGGCG